GAGGUGUAAAGAAUUUGGCAAGUAACUUGUCUAACUUAGGGAUAACAAUGGUGUUUAUCGGGCGACUGUAUAGCAAAUACACAGGGUUUAGUUAAAGAUGUUUAUAUUUUAGAGCUGAUAUGUGACCAGUAUUUAUAAUUGAACAAAACAAACGUUGGCCGUAACUAUAACGGUCCCAAGGUAGCAAAUUUCCUUGUCGUUUAAGUAACGACCUGCAUGAAAGAUGGAACGAUUCGAUAGCUGGCUUGCAUACAUGUGCUGGUGAAAUAUUAGGUAGUGUGAAGAUACGGUAACAAGGUUAUGGGACAAAAAGACCCAUUGAAGCUUUAUAG
rnacentral:rRNA from 1 species